rnacentral:misc_RNA from 1 species
GAUGAAGAACGUAGCGAAAUGCGAUACUUGGUGUGAAUUGCAGAAUCCCGUGAACCAUCGAGUCUUUGAACGCAAGUUGCGCCCGAAGCCAUUAGGCCGAGGGCACGCCUGCCUGGGCGUCACACGUCGUUGCCCCCCCAUCUACUCCUUCGGGAUUGCGGGGGGCGGAUGAUGGCCUCCCGUGCGCCUCGCCGCGCGGUUGGCAUAAAUGCCAAGUCCUCGGCGACGCACGCCACGACAAUCGGUGGUUGCGAAACCUCGGUUGCCCGUCGUGCGCAGUCGUCGCGCAUCGAGGGCUCGAAAAAAUUGCCGGGUUCCGGCUCGGCUUUCAACGCGACCCCAGGUCAGGCGGGGUUACCCGCUGAAUUUAAGCAUAUCAAUAAGCGGAGGA